rnacentral:rRNA from 1 species
CCUCAAGAUGAGAUUUCCCAACUUCGGUUAUAAGAUCCCUCAAAGAUGAUGAGGUUAAUAGGUUCGAGGUGGAAGCAUGGUGACAUGUGGAGCUGACGAAUACUAAUCGAUCGAAGACUUAAUCAAA